rnacentral:tRNA from 1 species
CAAGAAGUAGUUUAAAAAGAAUAUGAGCUUUGGAAGCUUACGGUGUAAUAUAUUAUUUUCUUGA